GGCUAGUCAACUAUUGUUCUCAACUUGUGGGCAAUUGUCGCUUUUAAUUGGUUAGUGUCAGGGGCAUGGACAAGCCACUGCCCUGGGCGGUGCUGCCUGUCAGGGGCAUAGCCAAGCCACUGCCCUGGGCGGUGCCGCCUCUGGCUGUAGUCCAACAGCUGUGCCGCAUUAUCCCAAGCAUUUAAGCCUUUAGAGUGUGAUCGACAUUUGUCAGUUACUUAGUUAGUGUUACUACUUAUUGGUUAUUCCACUAUCGUACAUAAGUUCGCAAGCUUUGUGGAGUGCAUCUCUUUGUCACAGUAAGCCUGUGCCACUAUAGUCUUGUUUCAUCCUUUUCAUGUUUCUAAGCUUUGCAUCAUAGUUAUCAGACCUUGUUGCAUGUUUUUGGAUCUUGCCUGGAGCCUUGCGUUUUUGUGCUUCCACCUUUUUUGGACUGCUCACUUGUGUACGACCUUAUCCUGGAAUAAAACCACCAUCGAUACCAUGCUCUCGUCUUAAGAGUCCUGAAAUUGGGUCCACUCCCUUACCUCGGUCUCAUGACAGAACACACUGGCCAGAACAGGACCCAGUGGGUUAAACGCGGCGUCGCCGGUAAUGGUGCCGGUCAAGCCGCCAGUCUGCCUCCCAGCACCCCCAGCCUAUAGACCAAGCAUCCCCUAUCUGAGUGGGAGGACCUGGACUUGUAGGAAUACCUGCCCGAAUCUGACGCAGAGGGCACCCGUUUGGCCAUCUAUCCGGGGCCUCCACAUGCCGGCCAGAGGAGACGCCCAAGUAGGGUGCCGCUUUAUGCCUCCCGCUGGACUCUGACCAGGCCACAGCCGAUAUCCGUCCGCGCCGGCGACCGCUCCACAGACAUCUCUUGUCCAUGCCUCACUGACGACGGAACCACAGCCGACUUCUGCCCAUGCUUCGCUGGCGACUGAGCAACAGCGGACUCUCGUCUGCACCUCGCUGGCAACGGAGCCACAGCCGAUUUCCGCCCACGCCUCGCCGGCGAUUGAUCCACAGCCGACACUCGUUAAAGCCUUGGUGGGGAAUGAACCACAACCAACUCUCGGCCAUGCCUCGGUAGCGACCCAGCAACAGCCGAUUCUCGUCCAUGCCUCGGUGGCGACCAAGCCACAGUCAAUUCUCGUCUACACCUUGGUGGCAACCAAGCCACAGCUGAUUCUCGUCCACGCCUCGGUGGCGACCGAGCCGCAGCCGAAUCUCGUCCGUGCCUCAGUGGGGACUGAGCCACAGCCAAUUCUUGGCCAUUCCUUGGUGGCGACCGAGCAGCAGCCUACUCUCGUCCAUGCCUCGGUGGCGACUGUCAUGUGCAAGGCUGGACCACAGCCAAGAAGGGUGUGGCCUGGCCACCGCUCAGAGCGGUUUAAUCUAUUACACCUAUCGCCGGUCACGGCUUUUUCUCACAGGCACUGUGAUUGGACAAUGUAUUUAAAUUUGAGUUUUGUCACUGGCAUUUGCCAGUUUGAGUAUGCCUUACCGCAUCCAUGGUUACUCUGCCACUGUGCCAUUAUAGUCCUGACACACUUUUGUUAUGCUCUUUAGUUGUCUCAUAGUUAUUGGACAUUGUUUCUUGUUUUUUGGAUCCUACCUUCUUGGACUGUGUUGUCGUGCACAACUUUAGGUUAUAAUAAAAACCCAUUGAACAUCAUGUCCUCAUCUUGGAGUCCUGCAUUUGGGUCCACCCCUGCACCGUUGGUUCAUGACAGAACGAACUGGCCAGACCAGGACCCAGCAGGGAAGACACGGCCUCGGGGCACACGUUGACGGCACGCUAGCUGCCUGAGGAUCAACCAUCUCCUAUUCGGAACCCACUUGGCCAUCUAUCCGGGCGCUCUGCGUGGUGGCCAGAGGAUAUCCCCAAGCAGGCUGCCGCCUGGCGCCUCCUGCGGUGUGGCGACCAAGACAGCCAAGCCACUGCAGACGAUCGCCCACUCCACAUCGACAACCAAGUCACAGCGGCAUUCCGCUUCCGCAGUGACUCCGAUCUAAGUCUUGGCGGCGACCCAUCCCCGGCCGUCUGAAGACCGUGGGUCGGUGGCGACCCAUCCAUGGCCGCUUGAUGACCACGCCUCGGCGCCGACCGAUCCUCGGUCACCUCCCGCUCCAGCUGUGAACAAUCCUCGGCUGCCUAUCAUCCAGGUUUCGGUGGCGACCGAACCACGGCGACCUCUCGCUCACGCCUCGGGGGCGCUCAAACCACAGCGACCUUUCGCUCAAGCCUUGGCAGCCUUUUGCCAUCAUCGGCAGCCGCCGGCUCUCGACCACGUCUUGGGAAGCCUUUGUCCUCAGCCGUCACCUGCUCCCGUUUGGUUCCUGCUGUGUCUUUGGGUCCCCCAUCGAGGAUGUCCGCCUGAGUCGCCCCAUGGGGACCCUGGUGCUUGGGGUCCUGGUUGACCUCCUGACCUGCUCAGCCGGACUCCUCGCUUUGGGUGGCCUGGACAGCCACCAGACAGACUGGGGUGGGGGCCACCAGACUGACAAACAAUUUUUCUCUGAGACAAAUCACCACCAUGAACUCUCAUUGUUCUUCCUUCCACACUAUUAAAGCAAAGGCAUUCAACGAGAACUCUGAGGCAGACUCUCUAACCAGUCGAU